UAAACUCCUUGCAAGGACUUUCAGCAAAUUCUCUCCCAUCAGGAGAGACUCGAUUUAUGGCACGGUAAAGUGUCAAAUGGUGCCCCGUAAGUCAAAGCUUAACUCCAA